rnacentral:rRNA from 1 species
CGCACCCAGGCGUCGAGCGGCGGACGGGUGAGUAACGCGUGAGAAUCUGCCCAUUUGUGGGGGAUAACUCGGGGAAACUCGAGCUAAUACCGCAUAAUCCCUACGGGGGAAAGCAGGGGACCUUCGGGCCUUGUGCAGAUGGAUGAGCUCGCGUCGGAUUAGCUAGUUGGUGGGGUAAAGGCCUACCAAGGCGACGAUCCGUAGCUGGUCUGAGAGGAUGAUCAGCCACACCGGGACUGAGACACGGCCCGGACUCCUACGGGAGGCAGCAGUGGGGAAUCUUGGACAAUGGGGGCAACCCUGAUCCAGCCAUGCCGCGUGUGUGAAGAAGGCCCUAGGGUUGUAAAGCACUUUCAGCAGGGAGGAAGGCUUACUGUUAAUACCGGUGAGUACUUGACGUUACCUGCAGAAGAAGCACCGGCUAAUUUCGUGCCAGCAGCCGCGGUAAUACGAAAGGUGCGAGCGUUAAUCGGAAUUACUGGGCGUAAAGCGCGCGUAGGCGGUUUGUUAAGUCAGAUGUGAAAGCCCCGGGCUCAACCUGGGAACUGCAUUUGAAACUGGCAGGCUAGAGUGCAGUAGAGGGAGGUGGAAUUUCCGGUGU